GUGCUCGCUUCGGCAGCACAUAUACUAAAAUUGGAACGAUACAGAGAUUAGCAUGGCCCCUGUGCAAGGAUGACAUGCAAAUUCGUGAAGCGUUCCGUAUUUUU
rnacentral:snRNA from 1 species